UUGACGCUGUAGGGCCAGCGGCGGUCCGCGACGGUGAGCGCCUCGUCGCCGAUGUGGUCGCCGUCGGCGAAGGUGCCGAGCACGGUGGCGUCGCCGUACCGGCCGGUGCCGAUCUUGUCGACCUUGCCGUGCGCGACCAGGUAGACCUCGUCGAUCUCGCGGCCCUGCUCGAUCAGCAACUCGCCCGCCGCGAAGUCCCGUUGGACGAAGCGGCCGGCCAGCUCGGUGAGCAGCUCGUCGUCCUCGAAGCCGCGCAGCACCGGCACCUCGCGCAGCGUGGGCGGCACCACCGCCACCUGGCGGCCGGUCUGCACGAAGGCCACCCGACCCCGGCCGACGGCGUACGACAGCCGCCGGUUGACCCGGUAGGUGCCGCCGGAGACGUCCACCCAGGGCAGGGCGCGGAGCAGCCAGCGGUUGCUGAUCUCCUGCAUCUGCGGGGCGGACUUGGUGGUCGACGCGAGGUUCUUGGCGGCCGCCACCGAGAGGCUGCUCUGCGGCCUCGACUGG
rfam:Kitasatospora cheerisanensis KCTC 2395 genomic scaffold scaffold00001, whole genome shotgun sequence.